rnacentral:rRNA from 1 species
UACGGGGGGGGGCAAGCGUUGUUCGGAAUUACUGGGCGUAAAGGGCUCGUAGGCGGCCAACUAAGUCGGAUGUGAAAUCCCCAGGCUCAACCUGGGAACUGCAUCCGAUACUGGAUGGCUUGAAUCCGGGAGAGGGAUGCAGAAUUCCAGGUGUAGCGGUGAAAUGCGCAGAUAUCAGGAGGAACACCGAUGGCGAAGGCAGCUCACUGGGACGGUACUGACGCUGAGGCGCGAAAGCGUGGGGAGCAAACAGG